rnacentral:rRNA from 1 species
AUGCUUCAGUGCUUGGUGGAAAUGACUGAGAUGCAGAGAAAUUCAACAGAGCGGUGGGUUACUCAAAUGGUCAGAAAAUCUCAUAAGGAAGCUCUCAGGACUGUUACGGGACAAGACAUUACUGAUGAUGUAGGCCCUGGUGACGAUACCACUUGCUCUGCUGGUGAAAAUAGGUACCCUGAUUGGCCUGGAACUACAGUCUUCAGGAUGCUAAUUUCUGCUACAAAGCUCGGUCUGAUAAUUGGUUACAAAGGAGAGAGGGUUAGAAGACUGUGCGAGGAAACAAAAGCAUGUAUCCGUAUAUUAGGUGGUCAUCUUGCGGGGGCAGAAAGAGCUGUUAUCAUUUUCGCAAAGGAGCAACCAGAUGAAUUAAUACCUCCAGCCAUGGAUGCACUAUUGAGAGUAUUUCAGCACAUAAUUUAUGAUGAUGGCUUAAACAUGGGGUCUGAUAGUACAGUUGUGGCACGGAUCCUUAUACCAAGUGAACAGGCAGUGAGCCUUAUUGGGGAGCAAGGUUUGAUGAUAUAUUCUAUCGAGGAAGCUUCCAAAACUAACAUUUAUGUCCUUGAUUGUGACUUGCCGCCUGUUGCACUUGAAGAAGAUAGGAUUGUUGAAAUAUGGGGACAACCUGCACGCGUGCGGAAGGCUUUGGAACUUGUUGCUUCUCAUUUGAGGAAGUACCUGGUUGAUCGAAGUGUUAUCCCAUUGUUUGACCCUCAUGUGCCUUUGUCGAUGUUACACGUGGAAAUGCCCCAAUGUCAUUACAGUGACCAUCCUGAGGGAAUGCCCCCGCUUUACUACAGUGAUCAUCCCGAAGGCCGUCUAGAAGCAGUUAGUCCACUCUGCCAUUCCGACGAUCAUCAGCGUGAACCCCAAUGGACUGAAACUUACUACACGAGAUGCAGGAAUCCUGUCGAAGUUCCUACCUCUUUUGGAAGAUAUCGAUCAGUUACACCUCCACACCAUGGUAUAAGUGCGUAUGGACAAGAAACAUCUUCACCACCCAAGGGAACAUACCUAUCAGCUCCUAUUGAAUUAGGUUCACACCACAACCUGACAGCAUAUGAAUUAUUACGAGCAACUUCACCAAUCGGUGCAUCAGCUACUGUUGAAAGAAUACGCUCCCUUAUAUCUGUGCAUGGCCACCAAGCACAUCCACUGAGGAAGACAUGUCAAUCAGCUACAAUGGGAAAACGUCCACACCUGGGAAUAUCAUUAUAUGGAAGUAAAUCUCAUACCAGCAGGGUAUCUCCAUCCGCAGCUGCUGAUCUACCGACACCUCGUGGUAUGUCUGAAUAUGAACUGCAAGCAUCUCAAUCAUUGAGGAUGUAUCCACCAGCUACUGUGGAAAACCUUCUGCACUGUCGUGUGUCUGCGUGUGGCCCAGAAGCACCUUUGCAUGUGCCUGUGCGUCCAUUAACUAGUAAAUCACCAGCAAUCACUGCACAGGUUACUGAAAAGAUGCAAGUUCCAAUUAUCUAUGCUGAAGCCGUGAUUGGCCCGACUGGUGCAAGAAUUGAUUACAUUCGCCGCGCUAGCAGAUCGAGCAUCUUGAUAAACGAUUUGGAGGAGGAUGCAAUGUCUAUUGAAAUCAAUGGAAGUUCUGCAACAGAUGUUCAGACUGCAGAGCAACUGAUAAAGAACUUCAUGGCCGAAGCUGCCGCUGCUUCCCCUGGUCAUAAGUUUGACUCCAUUCCAUCAUAUUUGCCUGCACCAAGAUCUCCUCAACCUGAUAUUCUAAGGACUUCGUACAUUGAGAAAGAAAGUGGUGUGGCAGAGCAGCGGCUGCAAACGAUUUACUGA